rnacentral:tRNA from 1 species
UCCCUGGUGGCUCAGAUGGUAAAGCGUCUGCCUAUAAUGAGAGAGACCCAGGUUCGAUCCCUGGGUGGGGAA